CUAACUCAUGAGUUUAUUACGAAAAUACCUUUUUGAGUGUUGGAUCAUCUCAACAUUUAUAAUUCAUGUAGAUGCCUAUAGAUUACACUUCUCUAAAUCAUUUCAAUUCCUAAGCAUUUUAAUUUGAGUUGAUUAGUUUUAUUCAUUUUGAAAUUAAAUCUUAGAACUAAAUGACAAGCUUUACAUGCAUUUUUCAAGAACAUAAAAAGAAAGUGAAGAUGACUUUGUGAUGAAAGCAGCUUCUAGCAGCUGAUCUCAUCAUCUCUAACACAUAAAAAUCUAGCCUAAAAGUCUUUGUUUAUUCACUUGGAGCUUAACCACACUCCUAUUCACCAAGGGUAAGUAGCUAGCUUAGAAACUAACUUGACUAAGGUUAGAUGUUGUUUUGGGUCUAUAAAAGAGCACUACUUCCUGCUCUAACUUCAUCCCAUUCUCAUUCAUAUAGGAAUUUCACUUAGAAACUCAUUGGAAAGAAAGAAAUCUUUAGUUAAAGAAAGUUAGCUUAAGCUCUUAGGUUCUUUAAGUUGUGAAGCUCAAUUUCGUGGCCAAGCCUCCAAUCACCUGUUGAUCACUUCAAAAGAUAUUCAUGUAUUGAGUACAUGCUUGGGGAAAAGGGAUGAACCUAAAGAAUAUUUUUACUACUAUUUCUAGUGAAUACUUGCACUGAUUUGAAUUUUGCUUAACUUUGGUUAUGUAAAUAUAUUAACCAUUUUGUUUUCUAAUAAAAGUACUAUUCAGAUAUGUAUAUAAUUUCUUUUACUUCCUA